UAGGUCACCCUAGAUUGGUCAUCUUUAUACCUUGUUUACCCCUGAACCUUUUUGGACAGUAUCUGCUAUUGCUAUAUGUGGUAUUGGGUGUCAAGAUAAUUAUUAUUCAUGAUCAUGUUCCUUAAUGUUGUUGAAUUCUUUAUCAUUCAUGAUAAGACUAUUGUUUUAAUUGGAACAUGGAGCUUAACUUGAGAUAUACGUGCUACCACAAGGUUGGAAUGGGACGCUCUUGGCUGACUAAUUAGGAAAGCUAGUGGAGAUCUACCUUACUAAAAGGGAAAUGUGCCCUUGGGCCAUUUCUAAGUAUUUUGGUGAUUGAGUGCCAACGCAAGUGCUUUUGUGUUGAUCUAUGCAAAGUGGUGGACAAAGUGCAAAUCAUGUCAAAAGGUAUGUUUCUAGACUUAGUACAUCGUUUUAUAGACUAAUGUAUUGUCUCUAAGUGCUGGAAACAGGAAAGAUUGAAUUGGAAAUGAGAUGGCUCUGUUCAGCCAAAGUCAGCUCGGUCUGGGUGCACCGGACUGUCCGAUCGUGCACCGGACAGUGUCCGGUGCGCCAGGCUGGCUCAGGCGAACUUGCUGCUCUCGGGAAGAAACUAACGACGUACGACUAUAAUUCACCGGACUGUCCGGUGUGCACCGGACAGUGUCCGGUGAGCCAACGGUCGCCGGGCCAACGGUCGGCCGCUUAAUCCGGG
rnacentral:lncRNA from 1 species